UACGAACUGUGCGAACGUUAUUCGGAAUCACUGGGCUUACAGGGUGCGUAGGCGGCUUAGCAAGUCAGGUGUGAAAGCCCCCGGCUCAACCGGGGAACUGCGCUUGAAACUGCUGAGCUCGAGUCAGCUAGAGGUACACGGAACUUCCAGUGGAGCGGUGAAAUGUGUUGAUAUUGGAAGGAACACCGGAGGCGAAAGCGGUGUACUGGGGCUGGUCUGACGCUGAGGCACGAAAGCCAGGGGAGCUAACGGG
rnacentral:rRNA from 1 species